UGAUUAAUUUAAUGGCCGCAGUAUUUUGACUGUGCAAAGGUAGCAUAAUCAUUAGUCUAUUAAUUGUGGACUUGUAUGAAUGGUUGGACGAAAUAUUAUCUGUCUCUUUUUAAUUAUUAGAAUUUAAAUUUUGAGUUAAAAUGCUUAAAUUUUUUUAUAGGACGAGAAGACCCUAUUGAUUUUUAUUAUUAUUGGAUAAUUUUAUUUUUGGUUUAUUAUAUUUAUUUAUCUUUUUAAUUUUUUUGUUGGGGUGACAUUUGAAUAUAUUUAACUUUUUUUUUUAUUUUUCAUUUAUUUAUGUUUAAUUGACCUUUUAUUAAUGUUAUAAGAUAUAAAUACCAUAGGGAUAACAGCGUAAUUCCUUUAGAGAGUUCUUAUUGACAAAGGAGAUUGCGACCUCGAUGUUGGAUUAAGAUUAUUAUUAGGUGUAGAUGCUUAAAUUAAUAGGUCUGUUCGACCUUUAAAUUCUUACAUGAUCUGAGUUA
rnacentral:rRNA from 1 species